rnacentral:rRNA from 1 species
AUGAAGCCCAAGAGCCUCCCGUUCAUCGCCUUCGAGCACAAGCGGGAUGCCUAUGGCUUCGCUGUGCGCCCCCAACACUUGCAGCGUUACAAGGAGUACGCAGGCAUCUACAAGGAGGAGGAGGAGGAGAGAUCCGACAGAUGGAAGAACUUCCUUGAGAGGCGAUCUGAGUCGUCUGGACAUGAUGCGAAGGUUGCACUGUCCGCGGACAAAGUCAAACCUGUAGUUGAGGAGAAUCCUGAGAAUGGAAGUUCUGAGUUGUUGCAUGAGAGGAGUGCACAAGGGACACGUAAGGUUGGAUCAUGGGAGCCAAUUCGGUCAUCCCUGGGCAACAUCGAGCAGGUGAUGGGUCUGCGUGUUGAGAAGAAGUAUUUAUCUGCUGGCAGGCUGCAGUCAAAGGAAUCCACCCAUCUUGUGACAGUUGAAGAGAGCAAGGUAUCAGCGGACUCAGAUGACGAGUUCUAUGACGCAGAUAAGGUUGACCCUAGCCAAGAAGUGCAGUCAGGUGAUGUGAAUGCUGAAAUUGGCAACACCAAUCAAGAAGAAACUUAUUCUUUGAAGGAAGAGUUGGAGUGUCUUGUCCAUGGUGGACUGCCGAUGGCUUUGAGAGGAGAGCUGUGGCAAGCUUUUGUUGGUGUUGGAGCUCGCAGAGUAGAAGGGUAUUAUGGUAGUCUGCUUGCUUCUGAAGGUGAAUUAGAAGAUGGCGGCUGUUCAGAUUCUUUGGCCUCAGAAGGAGUUGAUGAAAGACCUGAAGUAUUGUCAGCAUUUUCUGCCGAAGAAAAGUGUAAAGGGCAAAUAGAGAAGGACUUGCCCAGAACUUUUCCAGGUCAUCCUGCUUUAGAUGAUGUUGGAAGAAAUGCCUUGAGACGCUUGCUUCUGGCUUAUGCUAGACACAAUCCAACAGUUGGUUAUUGUCAGGCAAUGAACUUCUUUGCUGGUCUCUUACUUCUAUUGAUGCCAGAAGAGAACGCAUUUUGGACAUUGGCAGGAAUUAUUGAUGACUACUUUGAUGGGUACUUUUCUGAAGAAAUGAUGGAGUCCCAGGUGGAUCAGCUUGUUUUAGAGGAGCUAGUCCGUGAGAAAUUCCCGAAAUUAGCAAAUCACUUGGACUACCUCGGUGUUGAAGUUGCAUGGGUUACUGGACCAUGGUUCCUAUCCAUUUUCACCAAUGUACUUCCGUGGGAAAGUGUCCUCCGUGUAUGGGAUGUGCUUCUGUUUGAUGGGAAUCGUGUGAUGCUAUUCCGGACAGCCCUUGCACUCCUGGAGUUUUAUGGCCCUGCACUUGUGACUACAAAAGAUGCUGGUGACGCAGUUACCCUUUUGCAGUCUUUAGCUGGGUCUACUUUUGACAGCAGCCAGCUUGUCCUGACAGCUCGCAUGGGAUAUCAGUCUGUAAAUGAAACAGGAUUGCAAGAUCUGAGGAACAAACACCGACCAUCUGUUAUAUUAUCCAUGGAAGAAAGGGCAAAAGGUCUAGGUGUCUGCAAGGAGAGCGGACUUGCAUCAAAGCUCUAUAAUUUCAAACGCGAGCCUGAACCGCUGGUGUCAAUAAAUGAUUCUGCAGACCAAAUGAGUGAUGUUGCAGACGGAGAUGUCAACCAAGAGGGUGAUUCUGGAGACAUCGAUGAUAUGUAUGGUGCCCUGACAGUCAAUUCUGAGAUUGAUUCGAUGCCGGAUCCGAAGGACCAGGUCACCUGGCUGAAGUUUGAGUUAUGCCGAUUGCUAGAGGAGAGAAGAUCAGCUGUUCUCAGAGCUGAUGAGCUAGAGACAGCAUUGAUGGAAAUGGUAAAGCAAGAUAAUAGACGCCAAUUAAGUGCAAAGGCUGAGCAAUUGGAACACGAAUUAUCUGAACUAAAGCAGGCCCUAUCAGACAAGCAGGAACAGGAGCAAGCAAUGUUUCAGCUGGUGAUGCGUGUGGAACAAGAACUGAAAUUUGCAGAAGAAGCACGCAUCUCUGCAGAGCAGGAUGCUGCUGCUCAGAGAUACGCUGCUAAUGUGCUGCAGGAGAAGUAUGAGGAAGCUAUGGCAUCACUUGCCCAAAUGGAGAACAGAGCUGUAAUGGCAGAAACAAUGUUGGAGGCCACACUGCAAUACCAAUCUAGCCAGCAGAAAGCACUUUCCCCUUUGCCUUCUCCAAGAGCAUCUGCACAAGAUGAUUCAUUCCAGGAGCCUCAGUCCAGAAGAAUAAACUUACUUGGACCAUUUUCACUGAGUUGGCGGGAUAAGAACAAGAUCUGUUCUUUUCAGGGAAAACAGAACAAUGCUAGUGACUGCACAGAUGCCAAGGUUACAGAUGCUUAUGAUCACAGGGAAGAAGAACCGAAAAUAGAUGAUGGGAAACAUGGAGAAACACAAAAACCAGAUGGUGAAUGGACAGUAGAAUCACCCAAAGGAAACGACAAGGCGGAGUCGCCGAAGAAAGACAGAGUCCAUAUAAUCACAAAAGAUAUGAACGGGAGGCAUGGACAGUUGCAAGAAAUACAAUUGGAUUGA